rnacentral:rRNA from 1 species
UAGCCGUAAACGAUACUCGCUAGGUGUCGGCCACGGUGCGACCGUUGUCGGUGCCGUAGGGAGCCGUGAAGCGAGCCACCUGGGAAGUACGGCCGCAAGGCUGAAACUUAAAGGAAUUGGCGGGGGAGCACAACAACGGGUGGAGCUUGCGGUUUAAUUGGAUUCAACGCCGGAAAUCUUACCGGGACCGACAGCAACAUGAAGGCCAAGCUGAAGACUUUGCCGGAUUAGCUGAGAGGAGGUGCAUGGCGUAGUCGUGU